rnacentral:rRNA from 1 species
UGCGGGGACCACCCCGUAAGGCUAAAUACUCCUUAGUGACCGAUAGCGCAUAGUACUGUGAAGGAAAGGUGAAAAGGACCCCGGGAGGGGAGUGAAAGAGAACCUGAAACCAUAUGUUUACAAGCUGUGGAAGCGCUUUAUAUGCGCAACCGCGUACUUUUUGUAGAACGGUCCGGCGAGUUACGCCGGCUGGCAAGGUUAAGCACUGAAGGUGCGGAGCCGAAGGGAAACCAAGUCUGAAGAGGGCGCCAAGUCAGCCGGAGUAGACCCGAAACCGGGUGAUCUAUCCAUGUCCAGGUUGAAGUUGCCGUAAAAGGCAAUGGAGGACCGAACCCACAUCCGUUGAAAAGGGUGGGGAUGAGGUGUGGAUAGGGGAGAAAUUCCAAUCGAACCCGGAGAUAGCUGGUUCUCCUCGAAAUAGCUUUAGGGCUAGCCUCAUAUUCAAGUCUUGCGGAGGUAGAGCACUGAAUUUCCUAGGGGGCGUCAAAGCUUACCAAAGAAUAUCAAACUCCGAAUGCCGUGUAGAUGAUGUAUGGGAGUCAGACUGUCCGAGAUAAGUUGGGCAGUCAAAAGGGAAAGAGCCCAGACCUACAGCUAAGGCCCCAAAAUGUGUGUUAAGUGGAAAAGGAUGUGGGAUUUCGAAGACAACUAGGAUGUUGGCUCAGAAGCAGCCAUCCAUUAAAAGAGUGCGUAAUAGCUCACUAGUCGAGAGGUCCUGCGCCGAAAAUGUCCGGGGCUGAAACACACUGCCGAAGCUUGGGAAUUGAUGAAUGUCAAUUGGUAGAGGAGCAUUCUUAACAGCGGCGAAGCUGUACCGUAAGGAGCAGUGGAGCGUUAAGAAGAGAGAAUGCCGGAAUGAGUAGCGAGAGGAAGGUGGGAAUCCUUCCGGCCGAAUAUCUAAGGUUUCCAGAGUAAAGCUGAUCUGCUCUGGGUAAGUCGGGGCCUAAGGCGAGGUCGAAAGACGUAGCCGAUGGACAACAGGUUGAAAUUCCUGUACUAUGAUAUGACAGAACUGUGGGGACGCAGGGAGAGAGCACAUCCCGGGGGUGGAAUACCCGGGGCAAGC